AAAGGGGUGCUGGGUUUUCCCGGCUGAGACUGGGCCAAUUGAGGCUCGGGACCCUGGAACCUGAUCCGGAUAAUGCCGGCGUAGGAAAGGGCGAU
rnacentral:ncRNA from 1 species